UUAAGCAGCGAUUGCCGACUGUUAUUGACUGAGUGUCAGCUGGCCACAUUCAGCUGACAGCUGGUGUAAGUUGGUAUGGUUAGCAUGAAGUGUGUUAUCCUUGCUUUAGCCACAACACUAGUAGUGGAUGGCCAGGACGCCUUUUUAAUGUUUGUGUUAAACUGCUUGACAAUUGUUCAAUGCUGAAUGACUGGAUAAUGCCAGAGGACUCCAGGCACUAUGACCAAUUCAAUGGGAUGAAAUGGCUGUAGUAACUACAGUGUCCAUUUAAUUCCAACAUUGUAAAUAGUCCAGUAUUUCAGGGAUUUGUGAAACAGAAGAUGAACAACAUGAAUUUGUGGCAGAAACAGUAAACUCCAUUACACUAUCAAGCGCCAUGGACCAAAUUUCUGU